rnacentral:lncRNA from 1 species
UGAGAAAGGCGCUUUUAGACGGUGACGGUGUUUCUGUUAUUGCUAGAGAUUAUGUCAUUGAUCAAAGGUGAUUUCCGGUGCUUGGAUCCUUCCGUGUUGCUUUUGUUGGCCGCUGCAUUUUUCAAGAUUGCUGACACCUUGUUGUUUAUGUUUGUUGCUAUGGUAAGAAACCUGUUCUGUGAUUUUUUUCUGCGAUUUUUGAGACUGAAGUGGGAUGGACCAUAGUAGAUGCAAUGGGGUCUGUUGAGUCCAAUCCAGUUAUUAUUGGUAUUAGACACAGAGUGAAGCCUGAUAAUUGUGAGAUCUGUUUCUAUGUAUAUUCAUGGUUCCUUAGUUAAUUUGUGUUAGGCUGUUGUGUUACAGGUCUCUGUGCUAUCAUUUUUUCUUGGCACUUGUCCCUUCUGCACUUUAAAUCAUGGAUUGUUUGCUAAGUCAUAUCAAGCUAGAAUGUUAUAUGGAUCUUUUGAAAGGUGACAUAUUUAUUAGGCAUUCUGAUGGAAGGUGAACCUCCCUUUCUUCAACUAAUAUCCUUGAAUUCUUUUCCCUCGUCCCGGGAAAUAAUGGUUUUUUUUUUUGCCUUUUUUGGUAGUAGAGGAAGGUGCUAAAUAAAGAAGACAGAAUUCAGAACAAGAAUCCUAAUUAUUACAGUUCGGAUGAACGAAACGAGGAAAACAGACCUCUCUUAUAGUUUAGAUGGAUUAGUGCUUAUCAACCAUUGAACUCACUAACUCAUUGCGUGUUGAUCUGGAUGGCGAAUAUUUUUUUGCUUAAUAUUGCAUUAAAUAGUGCGAUCCAGGCUUGAAUUUGCUUAUACCAAAUUAGGAAUUCACCAAAUUAGGAAUUCAAUGGUUGAUAAGUACUACUCCCUCCGUCCCACUUUGAUAGUCUUGUUUUCCUUUUUCGUCUGUCCCAAAUUGUAGUCCACUUUCCCAUUAAGAAAUGUAGUAAUCUUUCAAAUUAUCUAAAAUACCCUUAUUAAAUAUCUUGUUAUUAAUACAUUGUUAUUAAAUACUAACCCACUACAUUGGAUAUAUUGAGUUUUUCCAAUACUAACUCAUUAGCUGUAACUGAUAUUAAUUGGCACUCUUCGUGAUUAGCAUAAGGGUAUUUUAGAAAAUUAUUAAUCUAAAUUUAUGUUUCCAACCAAAUUAAUUACACUUUCUUAAUCUGUGUGAAAAAAAAAAAUCAAGACUAACAAAACGGGACGGAGGGAGUAAUUCAUUGAUCUCCAAGGAAAAAACAUCAAGGACAUGGGAUAGAAUCUGAAACCUUUUUUCCAGACAAUGCCUAUAUAAGAUUGCGCGGUCUAAAAAUAUAUUGACAUCGCCUAGGAUUGCUUUGCUGCCCGUGAGCUUCCCCACUAUGUUUUCAUUUUCUCUCUUCAUUUGCUAAUCAAUUUAAUAAUGCCAAUUUCAUCAAUUAAACAAUUUAAGAAAAGGUUCAACUAGCUACCCUACCAAUCAAAAGAAUUAUUUUCAUCACCUUAAAAAUAGCAAAGCAGCAAAGGCUGCAUGUUAGAGGUUUCCCAAAAAAACAUCCGGUAAAAGUUGUUAUACAAAAAGCAUAAACUAACCAUUCAUCGCAUCACUCCAAAAUAUCAUGCUCAAAUUUGUACGGCUCCAUAACCUUCAUUAUAAGACCAAAUAGAAGGAAAUUUUAAAAAAAAUGUGCAGAAGGGUGUCAAAUACAUGCAAAAUAAAUAUGGUCCUUAAGUAUAUAGGCAUUUUUUUAUAUAUUAUUUUCAGCUAUUAAUCUUGAGUUUUAAAUGAAUAGGCUUUUUCUCAUACAAAAUUUGAUUGGGCUGCUUAAUCAUGAAUCUGUCCAAAUCCUCAACUCCCAAAUGAACCCUUAAUUUUGCUAUGCUUUUUCCCUCUUUCUUGAAUUCUCUAUGCAUUUAUAGUGCACAUGGCUUCAUCUCUUUUUCCCCAUUUUCAUUUCUUGACCUGUUUUCUCUUUCCUUUAGUUGUUAGAUGGAUGUAAAGGCAUUGAGUAUAUUUGAGGUCCACAGUUCUUUGCUACGAUGGACUAUUAUCCAAGUUAUUGAGGGCUCACAUCUCAAAACUACUGAUGCAGAAUGUGCCACAAAAGUGUAUUGUCGCUUCGUGUUUGAUGAUGCGCAUGUGCGUUUAGCUUUUUGCCCCUUGUAUUGUCAUAGUUUACUCUGUGGUCCUUUUGUUUGCUUGAAGUAUUAGUUGUGAUUUCAGUAAUAUAUUCCGUGUUAAUGCCUCGGGGUUUUGGAAUGAAAAAGUUAUACUAUUUUUUAGCCAACUGUACACGUUGUAUGGUGAAUUUGAGCGCCUGGUUUAUCCUUUUUUCCAUUUUUUUGGGGGGAAAAGGCUAACAUUGUUACCGUUGUUCAUGUUUGGUUGUAUUGAAUGCAGUUUCUUCAAUGUAUUGAGUAUCCUUGUUUUCUGUUCUGGCCCCUCUAUUUGCCAUUACUUUACUUUUUUUCCUUCUUUUUUCUCACUGGUUUCCUUUUUUCAUACGAGUAGUUGUUUUGUUUCUGAGCUGAUAUUGUGACAAACUAACUCUUGUCUUUUGGUUGACUGAUUUGUAAUAGAUAUGAUAGGAGUUGUUUUAUAUGCUUUACCAGUGAGAAAGGCGCUUUUAGACGGUGACGGUGUUUCUGUUAUUGCUAGAGAUUAUGUCAUUGAUCAAAGGUGAUUUCCGGUGCUUGGAUCCUUCCGUGUUGCUUUUGUUGGCCGCUGCAUUUUUCAAGAUUGCUGACACCUUGUUGUUUAUGUUUGUUGCUAUGGUAAGAAACCUGUUCUGUGAUUUUUUUCUGCGAUUUUUGAGACUGAAGUGGGAUGGACCAUAGUAGAUGCAAUGGGGUCUGUUGAGUCCAAUCCAGUUAUUAUUGGUAUUAGACACAGAGUGAAGCCUGAUAAUUGUGAGAUCUGUUUCUAUGUAUAUUCAUGGUUCCUUAGUUAAUUUGUGUUAGGCUGUUGUGUUACAGGUCUCUGUGCUAUCAUUUUUUCUUGGCACUUGUCCCUUCUGCACUUUAAAUCAUGGAUUGUUUGCUAAGUCAUAUCAAGCUAGAAUGUUAUAUGGAUCUUUUGAAAGGUGACAUAUUUAUUAGGCAUUCUGAUGGAAGGUGAACCUCCCUUUCUUCAACUAAUAUCCUUGAAUUC